rnacentral:rRNA from 1 species
GAUGAACGCUGGCGGCGUGCCUAAUACAUGCAAGUCGAGCGAACGGACGAGAAGCUUGCUUCUCUGAUGUUAGCGGCGGACGGGUGAGUAACACGUGGAUAACCUACCUAUAAGACUGGGAUAACUUCGGGAAACCGGAGCUAAUACCGGAUAAUAUUUUGAACCGCAUGGUUCAAAAGUGAAAGACGGUCUUGCUGUCACUUAUAGAUGGAUCCGCGCUGCAUUAGCUAGUUGGUAAGGUAACGGCUUACCAAGGCAACGAUGCAUAGCCGACCUGAGAGGGUGAUCGGCCACACUGGAACUGAGACACGGUCCAGACUCCUACGGGAGGCAGUAGUAGGGAAUAUUCCGCAAUGGGCGAAAGCCUGACGGAGCAACGCCGCGUGAGUGAUGAAGGUCUUCGGAUCGUAAAACUCUGUUAUUAGGGAAGAACAUAUGUGUAAGUAACUGUGCACAUCUUGACGGUACCUAAUCAGAAAGCCACGGCUAACUACGUG